rnacentral:misc_RNA from 1 species
GAUGAAGAACGUAGCGAAAUGCGAUAAGUAAUGUGAAUUGCAGAAUUCAGUGAAUCAUCGAAUCUUUGAAAGCACAUUGCGCCCGCCAGUAUUCUGGCGGGCAUGCCUGUCUGAGCGUCAUUUCAACCCUCAUGCCCCUAGGGCGUGGUGUUGGGGAUCGGCCAAAGCCCGCGAGGGACGGCCGGCCCCUAAAUCUAGUGGCGGACCCGUCGUGGCCUCCUCUGCGAAGUAGUGAUAUUCCGCAUCGGAGAGCGAUGAGCCCCUGCCGUUAAACCCCCAACUUUCCAAGGUUGACCUCAGAUCAGGUAGGAAUACCCGCUGAACUUAAGCAUAUCAAUAAGCGGAGGA